CUCGAUGGUGGCUGUUCGCAGGGCGCCUUCGGGCGCGCCGGUAUUUCGUAUGCCUCCCGGUCGACUAACCUGCUUACAGCCGCCACCCUA
rnacentral:antisense_RNA from 1 species